CGGGGUGCAGCAGGCGCGAAAACUUCACAAUGCGCGAAAGCGCGAUGAGGGGAUCCCAAGUGCUUGCACGUAAGUGUAAGCUGUUUUUCUGUCUAAAAAGCAGAGAGAGUAAGAGCUGGGUAAGACGGGUGCCAGCCGCCGCGGUAAUACCUGCAGCUCGAGUGGUGAUCGUUAUUAUUGGGCCUAAAACGUCCGUAGCCGGUCUUGUAAAUGCCUGGGUAAAUCGUAUGGCUUAACCAUACGAAUUCCGGGUAGACUGUUAGACUUGAGACCGGGAGAAGCUAGAGGUACUCCUGGGGUAGAGGUGAAAUUCUGUAAUCCUAGGGGGACCACCAGUGGCGAAGGCGUCUAGCUAGAACGGGUCUGACGGUGAGGGACGAAGCCCUGGGGCGCAAACGGGAUUAGAUACCCCGGUAGUCCAGGGUGUAAACGCUGCUUGCUUGAUGUUAGUCUGGCUCCGAGCCAGAUUAGUGUCGGAGAGAAGUUGUUAAGCAAGCUGCCUGGGAAGUACGGCCGCAAGACUGAAACUUAAAGGAAUUGGCGGGGGAGCAC
rnacentral:rRNA from 1 species